GACAGAGGGUGCAAACGUUGCUCGGAAUUACUGGGCGUAAAGCGCGUGUAGGCGGUUUCGCACGUCCGGUGUGAAAGCCCCGGGCUCAACCUGGGAACUGCAUCCGAGACUGCAUUGCUAGAGUAUGGGAGAGGGAAGCGGAAUUUCUGGUGUAGCAGUGAAAUGCGUAGAUAUCAGAAGGAACAUCAGUGGCGAAGGCGGCUUCCUGGACCAAUACUGACGAUCAGGUGCGAAAGCGUGGGGAGCAAACAGG
rnacentral:rRNA from 1 species